rnacentral:rRNA from 1 species
AUUGAACGCUGGCGGCAGGCCUAACACAUGCAAGUCGAGCGGCAGCGGAAAGUAGCUUGCUACUUUGCCGGCGAGCGGCGGACGGGUGAGUAAUGUCUGGGAAACUGCCUGAUGGAGGGGGAUAACUACUGGAAACGGUAGCUAAUACCGCAUAACGUCGCAAGACCUAAGAGGGGGACCUUCGGGCCGCUUGCCAUCCGAUGGGCCCAGAUGGGAUUAGCUAGUAGGUGGGGUAACGGCUCACCUAGGCGACGAUCCCUAGCUGGUCUGAGAGGAUGACCAGCCACGCUGGAACUGAGACACGGUCCAGACUCCUACGGGAGGCAGCAGUGGGGAAUAUUGCACAAUGGGCGCAAGCCUGAUGCAGCCAUGCCGCGUGUAUGAAGAAGGCCUUCGGGUUGUAAAGUACUUUCAGCGGGGAGGAAGGCGUUGUGGUUAAUAACCACAGCGAUUGACGUUACCCGCAGAAGAAGCACCGGCUAACUCCGUGCCAGCAGCCGCAGUAA